rnacentral:hammerhead_ribozyme from 1 species
GCACUACUGAGGAGUCCCACAAUAGGACGAAACGCCCGUCCAGUGC